GUAAGGAAAUUAUAUUUUGGGAUGUUGUUUUACAGUAGAAUAAAACAAUUCUGUUCAAUGCUACUAUCAUUCUACUAUCAUAGCAAUUCUUGGUUGUAAGGAAUUUUUUGUAUUAAUUAGUUCUAAACAGGUUUGAGAUUUUGAAAAAGCAUGAAGAAUAAUAGCUAUCGUCCGUAUUUUGCUGCGCCAGACUCCUCCUCGACCAGGCCUGCCUCUUCCUCGAUUGCACCUACUUCUAUUGGGGCACCUGCCAUUGCUGCACAGAUGGCAACUAAUGUUGACAUUAGUGACUCAAAGCUUUGGCCUGAUUUUGUAACUAAAGCUUUCAUUGACAUUAUGGUUGAUGAAGUUACAAAAGGAAAUAUGCCAAAUGGUGUGUUUCAUAAUAGAACAUGGACCUCAAUGACUACUAAGUUGAGUUCCAUAACUAAUCGAUCAUUUAAAGCCGGACAACUAAAGGCAAAAAUGCAUAGGUUGCGGGCCAUGUAUCGUGAGUUCUAUUCACUCUUGCAAAAUACCGGAUUUGGGUGGAAUGCAGAAACAAACACAGUUACUGCAAGUGAAGAGGUCUGGAGAAAUUAUCUUAAGGUACAUGAUAAAGCUUCUCAAUUUCAAAAGAAAGGGUGUGAUCAUUAUAAGUUGUUGGAAAUCAUAUUCAACAAAAAUAAUGCAACUGGAGUACUUCAUCAUUCAUCUACUCAAGACCCUCCAAAUACAGAUGAAGAAAAUGAGCUUGACAAUCAAUACCUUAACAAUGGGAGUGCGAGUCAUGUACGUGUUAAUGGUGAUAGUUCAGACGAUGAUCUACAUGAAGUUGAGCACAUCACACGUAGUGGAAAGAGACAAGUUCAAGUAUGAUCCAAUAAAGAGUCUACAUCACAUAUGAUGGGAGAGGCACUUUCGGCAUGGGCUAAAGCAUCUUUGGCAAAAGCUGAGAGGUAUAGGGAUAGGAGUGUGGAGGCUACUUCACGUGUAACAUCAGACUGCUCUCUUACUAAGUGUGUGACUGUUCUGGAUGAGAUGGAAGACAUUCCACAUGAUGCAUAUGGAAAAGCUUUGGAAAAGUUUAUGAAUCCUGAUUGGAGAGAAGUGUUCAUCGCCAUGUCUGUUGAGAGGAAACGUGGAUGGGUACUUAGACUUUAAGGAUAAAGUCUUACUUAAACUUAUGGUUCUAACCAGAAUUGAUAUUGAUGAAAGUGAUGAUUCUACUUCUGAUGCAAGUGAUGAUGAAUUCGCAGAAUUUCUCUUUAAUAGUAUGAUUUAUAAUUAUCAUCAGAAAUACUUUAACAAAGCAAAGGUGUUGACAUCUUCGUUGACUGGUCGUGAGUUUGUUGCUGAAGUAUUAAAUGGAUCUGGAACAAGUUAUUUUGAUUUAUUUCGAAUGAAGAAAGAAUGUUUUAUUAAUUUCUGUAAUGAAUUGAGGGAGAAGAACUACUUAUGUGACUCAAGAGAUGUGCUUGUUGAAGAGAAGGUUGCUACAUUUUUAUUCAUAAUUGGUCAUAAUGUUCGUCAUAGAGUUGCUUCAAUCCGCUUUCAACAUUCCACUGAAACAAUAUCACGCAAUUUUAAGGAGGUAUUAAGGGCAGUUUGUCGAUUUGGAAAGGAACUAAUAAAGCAAGAGUCCAAAGAGUUUCCUGAAAGAAUUAAAAAUAAUUCAAAAUACUAUCAUUGGUUUAAGGUAUGCACAUAAUUCAUAUUCUUCUAUUGUAGUUGUAUAUUUAUUUCAACAUAAUUUGAUUAUGGUUUACUUAUUCCUAUUAUUUGGGUUAUGUCUUAAAGAAUUGCAUAGGUGCGAUUGACGGUACACAUAUCAGUGCAUCGGUUCCUGCAGAAAAACAAAUUUCAUGUAGAGAUAGAAAGGCAACAAUCACACAAAAUGUCAUGUGUGCUUGUGAUUUUAACAUGAUGUUUACGUAUGUAUAUUCGGGAUGGGAAGGAAGUGCACAUGAUUCAAAGAUUCUUUUGGAUGCAAUUACAAAUCAAAAUGCUGAAUUUCCUUGGCCACCUAGAGAUAAGUCAUGGUAUCAACAUAAAAUUAUGUUCAAUGAAAUUAACAAAGUUGAACUAACAUAUAUUUUAUUUGAUGAAGGUUCCUUUUAUCUCGUUGAUUCUGGGUAUCCAUGUAUUGGAGGUUUUCUUCCCCCUUAUAGGGGUGAAAGGUAUCACGCACAAGAAUAUAGAGGUCAAGGUAGACAACCCAGAAGUCCAGAAGAGUUAUUUAACUACAGACACUCGUCUCUAAGGAUGACAAUUGAGCGUUGUUUUGGGGUGCUGAAAAAUAGAUUUCCUAUUUUAAAGUUGAUGCCUCCUUAUAAGCCUUCUAGGCAACGACUCAUAGUUAUUGCGUGUUGUGCUAUUCACAAUUAUAUACGCAAGUGGAAUUUACCGGA